rnacentral:rRNA from 1 species
ACACGACUACAUUAGAUACCCGCGUAGUCCCAGCCGUAAACAAUGUGCGUUAGGUGUGUCGGUAACCACGUGUUACUGAUGCGCCGAAGAGAAAUCGUGAAACGCACCACCUGGGAAGUACGGUCGCAAGGCUGAAACUUAAAGGAAUUGGCGGGGAGCACCACAACAGGUGGAGCCUGCGGUUUAAUUGGAUUCAACGCCGGACAUCUCACCGGAUAAGACAGCUGAAUGAUUGUCAAUCUGAAGGUUUUACAUGACUAGCUG